GAUGAACGCUGGCGGCGUGCCUAAUACAUGCAAGUCGAGCGAACGGACGAGAAGCUUGCUUCUCUGAUGUUAGCGGCGGACGGGUGAGUAACACGUGGAUAACCUACCUAUAAGACUGGGAUAACUUCGGGAAACCGGAGCUAAUACCGGAUAAUAUUUUGAACCGCAUGGUUCAAAAGUGAAAGACGGUCUUGCUGUCACUUAUAGAUGGAUCCGCGCUGCAUUAGCUAGUUGGUAAGGUAACGGCUUACCAAGGCAACGAUGCAUAGCCGACCUGAGAGGGUGCUCGGCCACACUGGAACUGAGACACGGUCCAGACUCCUACGGGAGGCAGCAGUAGGGAAUCUUCCGCAAUGGGCGAAAGCCUGACGGAGCAACGCCGCGUGAGUGAUGAAGGUCUUCGGAUCGUAAAACUCUGUUAUUAGGGAAGAACAUAUGUGUAAGUAACUGUGCACAUCUUGACGGUACCAAAUCAGAAAGCCACGGCUAACUACGU
rnacentral:rRNA from 1 species